rnacentral:rRNA from 1 species
CAGUCGCCGCGGGAAUACGUAGGUGGCAAGCGUUGUCUGGAAUUAUUGGGCGUAAAGGGCUCGCAGGCGGUUUCUUAAGUCUGAUGUGAAAGCCCCCGGCUCAACCGGGGAGGGUCAUUGGAAACUGGGAAACUUGAGUGCAGAAGAGGAGAGUGGAAUUCCACGUGUAGCGGUGAAAUGCGUAGAGAUGUGGAGGAACACCAGUGGCGAAGGCGACUCUCUGGUCUGUAACUGACGCUGAGGAGCGAAAGCGUGGGGAGCGAACAGGAUUAGAUACCCCUGUAGUCCCUGUCUCUUAUAC